UACGUAGGGGGCGAGCGUUGUCCGGAUUUAUUGGGCGUAAAGAGCGUGUAGGCGGUUCGGUAAGUCUGUCGUGAAAUCCUGAGGCUCAACCUCGGGCGUGCGAUGGAUACUGCCGGGCUAGAGGGUGGUAGAGGCGAGUGGAAUUCCUGGUGUAGCGGUGGAAUGCGCAGAUAUCAGGAGGAACACCAAUAGCGAAGGCAGCUCGCUGGGACGGUACUGACGCUAAGGCGCGAAAGCGUGGGGAGCGAACAGG
rnacentral:rRNA from 1 species